rnacentral:lncRNA from 1 species
AAAAAUUACUUUGCACAAUUAAAAAGAUGAAAAUUUGUUGAUUCCCUCAUAGUAAUAUUAAUUCUUUCCCCGUUUUGAAUAAUGCAACUAAAUAUAACCUCACCGACAGAAAAUGAAGUAAUUUGAUUAUGAAUUUGUAAUUGAAACGUAACUUCAUUAUAAUAAUCUUUCAAAAUCUUUACGAAGGUACUUUGAGCCAAAGAAAAAGAAACAAAUUAGG